AUAGUGCAACGAGUAAAUCAGUGUCCCGAAUUAAUUGGCGAACGAACGACAAGCUGUGCCCGCAUUAUUAUUAUCAUUAUCUGGAAUCUGGAAUCACGAGCUGGUUGGAGAAAUCCGGAAUCAUCAAACGACAAAUGUGAAUGAUUACCCGACUCGUCUCUCUCUACCUUGUGCUCGCUCUCCGCCAAGAUGGAGCACAAGGCAGUGUUCUUGUGGCAGACAACACGAUGUCUCGAAUGGUGGAAGUAAAUGCGGGGGCGCCCUUCUGCGCUCUCUACAACGACCGAGGCGUCAUCCAGAGGAUGGUCCUAGGCGCGGAUCCUCGAAAAGUGCGACAGAUGUCUAGCAAUCUUGUCGCCGAUCUGGAACAAACUUGCAAAGAGUCACGGAAUCGAGGAAAGAAUCAAGCCCCCGGUGGUCUGAUUUACCCGGGAACGAAGUGGUGCGGUCCGGGCAGCAUCGCGAGCUCCUACGACGAUCUCGGUCAACAUGCAGCAGAGGAUGCUUGCUGCCGAGAGCACGACAACUGCCCGGUAACGAUAGCACCUCAGCAGUGCAUUGACGGGAUUUGCAACAAUUCACCGAUAACAAGAUCGCAUUGCGACUGCGAUGCCAAAUUCCGCAGAUGCCUGCAGAGCCUCAACACCGAAGUGGCGAACACCUUAGGGGCUUUGUUCUUCAACGUCGUCCAGGUCACCUGCUUCAAGGAAAGACGUCCUUGCUCUCAGUGGCAACGCUGCUACGAAUUUGACCGAUCGCCUUUGUUCGGAAACAAUUCAACGGGGGACUCAAGCCGGAAGCAGAGCGGAAGGCAAUACUUCAGGCUCAAACUGACUCUGGCUAAGAUUGGCUUGUUCAAAAUCCGGCUGUUGCUGGAAAAGUUUUCCAAGAUUUUUUCAUUUCUAAAAUUAUAACCAAACGCGCGCAUUACUUUCGCGCGAAUCGUUUCGUAAAAAUAAUUUCUUGCCAUACGUCUAUUCAAUACUCAACAAUCACCGCUAUAUCAGUUUCGAACAUCCGGUACCUUCAAUACAGCAUCGGAAUUCAGAAUGGAACUUGAAGCGGAUCAAUUCGAAAAUGAAUGGCUACCCAGAGGCGGAGUCGAACCGUCUUUGUUCGCAGUACAAAUUCCGGCCAAGUGACAAAUACGUGCCUUUAAUGCCAGUAAAUAUUAAUAAAUGAAUCCGUAAGCAGCAAGGUGUUAACCCGCAAAACGAACCCUGAAACGAUAGAUUUAUUCAUUAUAGAUCUACUGUGAUCCACUGCAGGGCGAAUUAUUAAGAACCGCACACAUCGAUCAGCGUGCGAUACAUUUUGCGGGUAAAAUGUUAUUCAACGAUAGCAAACCUGACCGCGAGUUAUUAUUCGUUAAAAGUCCACAUUCGAUGUAAUUACGACCGUCGCUUCUUCCUGGAAUUAUUUUUUAUUUCUUAUCUCAGCGACGUGACAUAAAAAGCGGAGGUUAUAACGUUGAAGAAUAAACAAUCGUUA